rnacentral:rRNA from 1 species
UACGAAGGGGGCUAGCGUUGCUCGGAAUCACUGGGCGUAAAGCGCUCGUAGGCGGAUUGCUAAGUCUGGGGUGAAAUCCUGGAGCUCAACUCCAGAACUGCCUUUGAUACUGGCGAUCUCGAGUCCGGGAGAGGUGAGUGGAACUGCGAGUGUAGAGGUGAAAUUCGUAGAUAUUCGCAAGAACACCAGUGGCGAAGGCGGCUCACUGGCCCGGUACUGACGCUGAGGUGCGAAAGCGUGGGGAGCAAACAGG